GGUCUACUCUAUAUUCCGUUCCUUAUGUUUUUAAUAAUUCCUCAGGUUAACAGUUAAUCUCACCUCUGGUUUCUGCCAAAAGCAUUGUACUGUUCAAUCAAGUAACAUUUGAAAGCUCCAGUCAGGCUGGAAGCAUGUGCCUCAGUUAAAAAUGGUGGGUAAAUGAAACGAGCUGCCAGAGGAGUUGGUUGAGAUGCUCUUCUGCAAUAAGUCGUGACAUUUUUUUAAAUUCAUAUAAAGAAUGUGGCAGCAUUCAAGUACCCAUCCCAUGAGAAGAUGUGCAGAGAGAUGCCUUCUUGAGCUGCUGCUGUCUUUGCGGUGUGAGUAUAACCACAAUGUUGUUCAGGAGAGAGUUCCAAGACUUUGACCCACCAAUAUUGGAGGUACAGUGCUACAUUUCCAGGUCAUAUCUUCUGAGAUCCUCUAAUGAUAAUGCAAGGGAUCCUCUGUAAUAAAUCAUUGGUGGCAUGGCCUUAAGUCAAGUCAAGUCAAGUCAAGUCUAUUUGUCACAUACACAUACGAGAUGUGCAGUGAAAUGAAAGUGGCAAUGCUCGCGGGCUUUUGUGCAAAAGACAAACCAAACAACCAAACAAAUUAUGAACACAAUCAUAACACACAUAUUUUACAUGAUAAAUAAUGGAAGGAAAAACGUUCAGUAGAGUUAGUCCCUGGUGAGAUAGGCGUUUACAGUCCGAAUGGCCUCUGGGAAGAAACUCCUUCUCAACCUCUCCGCUCUCACCGCAUGGCAACGGAGGCAUUUGCCUGACCAUAGCAGCUGGAACAGUCUGCUGCAGGGGUGGAAAGGGUCUCCCAUGAUUUUAUUUGUUCUGGAGUUGCACCUCCUGUUGUAUAGUUCCUGCAGGGGGGCGAGUGAAGUUCCCAUAGUGCGUUUGGCCGAACGCACUACUCUCUGCAGAGUCUUCUUGUCCUUGGCAGAGCAAUUCCCAAACCAGAUGGUAAUAUUUCCGGACAAGAUGUUUUCCACCGCCGCUGCGUAGAAGCACUGGAGGAUCCUCGGAGACACUCUGAAUUUCCUCAAUUGCCUGAGGUGGUAAAGGCGCUGCCUUGCCUUACUCAUGAGUGCUGAGGCGUGUGAUGCCCAUGUCAUAUCCUCGGAGAUGUGGACUCCCAGAUAUUUAAAACAGUUCACCCUAUCCCCAGGAUCCCCAUUUAUCCUCAAUGGAGUGUACGUCCUCGGAUGAUGUGCCCUCCUAAAGUCCAUGAUCAGCUCCUUCGUUUUUUUGAUGUUCAAGAGGAGGCUGUUAUCCUGGCACCAGAGUGCUAGAUCAGCCACCUCCUACCGGUAGGCCUUCUCGUCGUUGUCUGAGAUCAGGCCCACCACCACAGUGUCAUCAGCAAACUUAAUUAUUGAGUUGGAGCUAAACCUAGCCACACAGUCAUGUGUGUACAUGGAGUACAAUAGGGGGCUGAGGACGCAACCCUGGGGCGAUCCUGUGCUUAGGGUGAGGGACUUCGAUGUAUUUCCUCCCAUCUUGACUACCUGGGGCCUGGCGGUGAGAAAGUCCAGGACCCAGGCACACAGGGAGAUGUUGAGCCUCAAUUCCAUUAGCUUCCCGGCCAGUCUGGUAGGGACUAUCGUGUUGAAGGCUGAACUGUAGUCUAUGAACAGCAUCCUCACGUAGCCCCCCUUCUGGCUGUCCAGAUGGGAGAGAGCGGUGUGUGCAAGACCUGGGGGAGACCGCAUCGUCCGUGGAUCUGUUCGGACGAUAUGCGAACUGCAACGGGUCCAUGUUCCGAGGGAGGAAGGCGCAGAUGUGAUUCUUCACCAGCCUCUCAAAGCAUUUCAUGACUACCGAGAAGAUUUUAUCCACUUUUCGAAGGGUAAAGAAACUGCAUCCUUAUGUUCAACGGAAGAGAGAGCAUUAUUCUGUCACUAAUCUGUGCUCCAAUUCACACGGGAGCUCUCGAUGUUAUAUAAUGGUUAUAUAAGCCGGAAAUAUCCUCUGCUUCAUGUCGCAAAUGUAUUUCUUACUUUAUUGAAUGCAAAAGAUUAACCACCCUCCUCCUGAAAAUAAAAACCUAAACAAAUUGUUUCAUGUUGAGAUGGACUGAUGUGGAACGGCAAAAAGGCCAAAACAUUAGGGGCAUGCAACAGCAACGACAAGCUAGACCCAAGAAUAUUGUGAAUCUUUCAUACACUUUGCGCUCUAGAAGCUCUCCUUUGUCUGAUCUUGAUAAAUGAUGAGUACCACAGCGGUGAUGAGGGAUGGAAGAUGCAUGUGAAAGAUCCUGAUUCAGCAAUUAGACUACAAAUGAGACAGUUUGACAUUUCGAAUGGUAUCCCUUUCUUUGACAAAGUCGAGGACAAAAUUAGGUAAUUACUUGUAUGGUUUUAUUUAAAGCCCUGUAGUCAAACUGCUUCUUAAUGAGCUGUUAGUUCCUUAUGUUUAACCCCUUUUUAAUUGUGAUUUCAAAGCAAACUUUGUUAAAUAUGAUAGGUGAGAAAAUUGCAUCCUGGCAUUUUCUUUUGCUAAAUAUAUAUAAAAUCGAAUCAGAGGAACAAACUAGGCCAGGUUGACUUGAUUAAACCCAUCUCUUUCCAUCAGCUAUAAUUAUCCUAUACGAGUAAAAAAAAAUCAGGCUGCAUGAGGUAAAUGUUUUAAGAAACUUGACUCCACAGCACAAACUUGCUAUUGGUUCACUCCCAACCUGCAUUACUCAUAAUCCCCUAGGGGUGACUUUGAGAAAUGGCUACACACUUCGUGGAGAGAAGUUAAGGCAAUGUUCUUAGGUUAGGAAAUGAUUCUGGCGUUGUGCUUGUUCGGUGUUACUGCUAUCUCAAGGCGAUUGGUGUUAAACCUGUAGGUUUGAAAUUCAAACGCACAGCCAAAUUUUUCAUGAGAAUUUCAUUCAAAUUGUUCUAAAACUAAUGCACGUCCUGGUAUGCAUAGCGCAUAAAAUGACUUGAAAUCAUCUGGUUCCAUGUACAUGGCCCACAGAGCAAGUGGAGUACACAUGCCCCUGCCAUGACGCUGUGCAAUGCACAAAUGGUGCCACUUCUGUGAAAUGUAUUCAUGAAUCUGUAAUUAACACCCAGUGUGAAUUAAUACAGGGAAGAAGGCAGUGCUUGACUCUUCACAAGCCAUUUAAAGGGAUCAUUGUUUGUGUAUUUGUUCAGGAUUCAUUUGGGGGAAGAAUGCAUUGGGUUUUACAAGGCUGAAGGCAA